GCGAGAGCAGCAGCGGUAGCCACGAGCGUCAGGUUCUCGAUGAUGUUUUCACUUGCAAUUGGAUCUGUUGCUUCAUGCAGGGCCGUGAGUGCUCUCUCUCGCUCUUUGUUUCAUUUUUUCUUCUAGGUGCUUUCUUAGGGCCCGUUCGUUUCUCACGGAAUGGAGACCUGGAAUGAUUUCAGCCAGAAACAUUAUGUAAAUUUAUACUAUUUUUGAUCGUCUGAAAUGAAUCCAUCGGGAACAAAGGCUAAACGAACGAGCCCUUAGUAAUCACUCUCAUGGUUAGCUGAUCUGAGAUCUGAGAGGUUAUAUUAUAUGAAUCCAUUUUAAUUAGUCCCUCUAUAACCUUUUUUCAUGUUUGCCUUCUGAAGAAUCAUCA
rnacentral:lncRNA from 1 species